ACUGCUCAGUAACACGUAGCUAACUUGCCCUUAGGUCAGGGAUAACCUCGGGAAACUGAGGCUAAUACCUGAUAGGAAAUAUUUUCUGGAAUGAGAUAUUUCUGAAACUCGAGCCUAAGGAUAGGGCUGCGGCUGAUUAGCUUGUUGUUGGUGUAAAAGACUAACAAGGCGAUGAUCAGUAAGGGCUCUUAGCGGAGAGGCCCUGAGAAGGAAUCUGAGACACUAUUCCUAGCCUUACGGGGUGCAGCAGUCGAGGAAAUUUUACAAUGCUCGAGAGAGUGAUAGAAUGAGUCAGAGUGUUUCUCUUAGAGAAACUUUUUUCUGUUGUAAGAAGACAGAAGAAUAAGGACUGGGUAAGACCGGUGCCAGCCGCCGCGGUAAUACCGGCGGUCCAAGUCGCAUCCACAUUUAUUGGGUCUAAAACAUCCGUAGCUUGUUUUAUAAGUCUCUUGUGAAAUUUUAUAUCUCAAAUAUAGAGCGUGCAAGAGAUACUAUAUUACUAGAGACCGGAAGACGUAAAGAGUAUGAUUGAGGUAGCGGUAAAAUGUUUUAAUCUUAAUCAGACUAACAAUAGCGAAGGCACUUUACGAGUACGGUUCUGACAGUGAGGGAUGAAGGCCAGGGUCGCGAAAGGGAUUAGAUACCCCUGUAGUCCUGGCAGUAAACACUGCUCACUAAACAUUAGUGCCUCCUCGAGAGGCAUUAGUGCUGUAGAGAAGUCGGAGAGUGAGCUACCUGGGAAGUAUAGUCGCAAGGCCGAAACUUAAAGGAAUUGGCGGGGGAGCAC
rnacentral:rRNA from 1 species